rnacentral:lncRNA from 10 species
CAGAGCAGUAAGGCGAAGAAAGAGAAGAGAAGGAGCGUCUGAACGUCAAGAGGAGUUCAGCUGGGGAUGGCCAAACUCCAGGGGAAGAUCAUCUUCUCACUACAUCCCCUUUCCAGCUCCCCAUCCAUCCCACUGAGAGCCACCUCCAUCAGUCAAUAAAAUCCCUGCAUUCACCAUCCUUCAAGUUCACAUGACCCGAUUCUUCCUGGAUGCCAGACAAGGACCCGGGUACUAAGAGGACAGGGUGUAAAAAGCUGUCUGACUCUCCACUAAACUGGUUAACGCUUAGCUGUCUGGGGAUGGCAACUGCUAAAAGGGUAUUCAUUCUAACACUUCCCUAGAGGCUACUGAUACUGAAGUGCUGGGAAGGAAAGAGCAUGGUCCUUUUAAAUGAUAUGGAAGUGGGGAAUGGAAGGGCUGGGUAGAGGAGGGCAUGGUGCCUGGCUAGGACUCUACCCCCACAGACCUAGGUGAGGACAGGCACAUCUGUCUUUGUGCCCAAAUGUUGCAUUUUCCAAGACCACUCUGGCCUGCCACACCCCCAUCCUGUGCCUAUAAAAACCCCUGAAACCCUAGCAGUCAGAUACACAAGUGGCUGGACAUUGUGAGGAACACAUUGGUGGAAAAAGACACAGGUGGCUGGACGUUGAGAGGACAUCGAGGGGAGCACUCUGGCGGAAGAGCACACCAACAGAUGCCAGCAUGCCGCAGGCCAUUGACCAGCAGAAUGACACAGAGUUUGGCUGGGGCAGUCAGAGGAGAGCCCAGGUCCCUGAGCUGCCUGACUCCAGGAAAAAGCCAUCUCCCUUCUGGCUCCCCCAUCUGCUGAGAGCUACUUGUACUCAAUAAAACCUUGAACUCAUUCUCCAAGCCCACAUGCGAUCCAGUUCUUCCAGUACACCAAGGUAAGAAACUCCGGGAUACAGAAAUCCCUCUGUCCUUGUGAUAAGGAAGAGAGUCUAAUUGAGCUAACACAAGCCACCUGCAGAUGGCUAAAUUAAAAAAGCGCCCUGUAACACAUGCCCACUGGGGCUUUAGGAGCUAUAAACACUCACCCCUACACACUGCCAUGAGGUUGCAGCCCCACAACCUGCCCGUCUGUAUGCUCCCCUAGAGGUUUGAGCAGUGGGGCACUGAAGAAGCAAGCCACUCCCCUGUCACACGCCCUGUGAGGGGGACAAGGGAACUUUUCCUGUUUCACUACUAUGCGGCUGGAGCCCAAAAGCACUCAUCCCAGCUCCUGCACCUGUCUGUCUGCAUGUUUCCCCCUCUUGUAAGGGGUUUGAGUACAUGGUGGCCAAGCAAACAGGCCACACCCUUGUUGCAAGUCCCGCGAGAGGUUCAGAGAACUCUCCCGUUUCACUCCUGCCUCAGGCCUCAGCCACCACAGUAAGUGGAACUCUAUACCUCCACCUCGCCUGGCUGGGUGGAGCCUCUAAACUCAGGAUUCUGCCUUGAGCUGUGGCUCUCCCCUCAGGUUGACAGGGUCCAGAGCAAAACCUACGGAAGAAGCUGCAGAGGCCAGGUGGAGGGAAGGAUGCUGAACUGGAGGAGGCCAGGAAAUUAUGAGGUGAUUCUAAGCACAUUAAAAUCUGGAUGACACUUAUCUGAAUCAUUUCGCAACUUGGAGAGAGAUGGAGAAGACACGCAUGGUGUAACUGGGCAUCACCAGAAUGUGCACUGCCAUCUGUGGCUGUCUUCCUGCUGGCAAAUCCUUUUCAUUCCAAGCAAAUAAGAUUCCCUAAAUUAGACAAAAAGGAAGAAACACAACAGAGUCCAUAAUUCUGAGAGGAAGAGAAGAGUGAUCAUCAGCAGCAAAAGGCAAUUGCAGAGAAGCACCACCAAGAGCCAGCUUCAUGCUCAGGAGUGAAUGCUGAGCCGCCUCCUCGUGGUUUCCGGUGCUCCACAUGUUCAGAGAAACUUCUCUGUUGUAUUAUAAUUCCUAUCCCAGAAGGCCUCUAAAGCUAUCUUACCCAAGAGAAGAAAAAAAAAUCCUUUGAGGACUAAGAUCGCAUGAAUGCAUAAACAUCACGAAAUGGACCUGAGGUAGGGAUUGAAAGCGAUGGUUUCCCCAGGGCCAUGAGCCAGUCAAGCACACGAAGAAACUGAGAGGGAGAACUGUUUCUGGAAAGUGUAUUGGAUGGUUCCCUUAACUGACGCUCCAUGUCACAUAAUUAACACAAGAAAAAAUUAGAAUCUCGGGACCUUGCCAUAUAAAAUGAUGUUCAGAAAACAGAGCCUAAUGCUUUGAGGCUGAACUUGAAGCUCCAGUGGAUCAUCACAAAAUUUAAACCAUACGAUCGCAACCACCCUGGAUGCCACCAAGGGACACAGUCCGGAGACCCACUGGGAGGCCUUUGGAUACUUCUUCCUGUCAACACCUAUUCUCACUGCUGAACCCCUAAAGCCAGUUCCUUUAUUUUCAGAUUGGGGUAAUAGCCUCCUAGGUGGGAGAGCACUGAGAGAGGCCAUCUAAAUUUCAGCAAAGCAUUUUAGUAAGUUUCUCAUGACAUUUUUGUGGUCAAGACAAAUAGAUAUGGUCUCAUUGUAAUAUGUUUGAGUAGUACAGUCAGGCACCACAUAAUGAUGCUUUGGUCAAGGAUGAACCACAUGUAGGAGGGUGGUCCCAGGAGAUUAUAAUGGAGCUGAAAUUUUUCUAUUGCCUGGCAUUUAUCAUAAUGUGCUUUUUAUCAUUAUUUUAGAGUAUACUUCUUUUUUGUUGUUGUUGUUUUUUGAGACUGAGUCUCGCUCUGUCGUCCAGGCUGGAGUGCAGUGGCACAAUCUGAGCUACCACAACUUCCACCUACUGGGUUCAAGCGAUUCUUGUGCCUCAGCCUCCCAAGUAGCUGGGAUUAUAGGCACCCGCCACCACACCUGGCUAAUUUUUGUAUUUUUAGUAGAGACGGGGUUUCACCACGUUGGCCAGGCUGGUCUCGAACUCCUGACCUCAUGAUCUGCUUGCCUCAGCCUCCCAAAGUCCUGGGAUUACAGGUGUGAGCCACUGCACCUGGCCUACUUUUUUUUUAUUUUUUAUUUUUAAAAAGGGUAAUUGUACAACAGCCUCAGGCAGGUCCUUCAGGAGCUAUUCCAGAAGAAGGCAUUGUUAUCACAGGAGAUGACAGCUCCAUGUGUGUCACUGCCCCUGAAGACCUCCCAGUGUGACAAGGUGUGCAGGUGGAAGACAGUGGUAUUGAUGAUCCUCACCCUGUGGAGGCCAAAGCAAAUGUGUGCAUUUGUGUCCUAGUUUUCAAUAAAAAAGUCUUAAAAGUUAAAAACAAAUUUUUAAAUAGCAAAAUCUUAUAGAAUACGCAUAUAAAAAGAAAUAUUUUUUACAGCUGUAUAAUGUGUUUGUGUUUUAAUCUAAGUGUUAGACAAAAAUAUGAAAAAGUGAAAAAGUUUGAAAACAUUAAGAAGUCUAUAAAGUUAGAAAAGGUACAGUAUGCUAAGGUUAAUUUAUUUUAUUUAUUUAUUUAUUUUGAGAUGGAGUCUUCCUCUGCUGACCAGGAUGGAGUGCAUGCAGUGGCACAAUCUCGGCUCACGGUAACCUCUGCCUCCUGGGUUCAAGCAAUUCUCCUGCCUCAGCCUCCCGAGUAGCUGGGAUUACAGGCAUAUGCCACCACACCAGGCUAAUUUUUGUAUUUUUAGUAGAGACGGGGUUUCACCAUGUUGAUCAGGCUGGUUUUUAACUCCUGACCUCAAGUGGUCUACCCUCCUCUGCCUCCCAAAGUGCUGGGAUUACAGACAUGAACCACUGCACCCAGCUGGUUAAUUUAUUAUUAAAGAAAGAAAAUUGUAAAAGGUAAAUUUAAUGUGGCCAAAGUGUCCAGUGCUUAUAAAAUCUACAGUAGUAUAAUGUCCUAGGCCUUCAUAUUCACUUACCACCCACUCACUCAUCCAGAGCAACUUCCAGUCCUGCCAAGCUUCAUUCCUGUUAGGUGUCCUAUAUAGGGGUACCAAUUUUUACUUUUAUUUUUUAUUUAUUUUUUUUGAGACGGAGUCUUGUUCUGUCCCCAGGCUGGAGUGCAGUGGUGUGAUAUUGACUCACUGCAACCUCCAACUCCCAGGUUCACGCGAUGCUCCUGCCUCAGCCUCCCGAGUAGCUGGGACUACAGGCACACACCACCACACCCAGCUAAUUUUUUUUGUAUUUUUACUAGAGACGGGGUUUCACCAUGCUGGCCAGGCUGGUCUCGAUCUCCUGACCUUGUGAUCCGCCUGCCUCGGCCUCCCAAAGUGCCGGGAUUACAGGCAUGAGCCACCACGCCCAGCCAAUUUUUAUCUUUUAUAUCAUAUUUUUACCAUACUUUGUCUAUGUUUAGUGAACAAAUACCGUUGUGUUACCGUUGCCUACAGUAUUGAGUGCAGUGGCGUGCUGCACAUGUCUGCAGCCUGGGAGCAAUGGGCUGUAGCACAGAGCCUGGGUGUGUAGAAGGCUGCACCUUCUGGGUUUGUGUAAGUGCACUCUGUGGUAUUCGCAUAAUGAUGAAAUUGCUUAAUGACACUCUUCUCAGAACGUAUCCCUGUCGUUCAGUGAUGCAUGAGAGUAUUUUAAAGGUAGAUUAAUCAUGAGAUGAACAGUGGUGGAAUUUGAUAAAUAGGUAGAAAUUGGCUUCAAGGAGAAUUUUAGUGGUGAUUCCAAGCCUACAUUUAAUCAUUUUAUUAACUUGGAUAAAGACAUCAAUGGCACAUUGAUGAAUGUGCCAUAUGGCAUUUAGUAAAAAGGGAUGGCUCCACUCAAGAGGACAUUAUCGUGAGCCAAAGGGACUCCGAGAGGCUGAAAUGAUUUCCCUAGAUAUAACUAAAUACAGUUUAGCAGAAACGAAUAACCAAUUUCUAUAUUUGGAAAUGCCAUCGUGCCUUCCCCCACCCCAAUCACCUUCAAUACCAAAUUGUAUAGGACACACCUGGUAACUGCACGUAGCCUCCUCUCCCCCUCCUUUGUUGGGACAAUGGGGCUGAUAGAAGAAAACUGGAUUUUUUUUUCCAGUUUUGUUUUCCAGCAACCCCUCAGGACUCUGGUAUUUUUGUUAAUUAUUUGGGAUUUAGGAAUUAAGAGUGAGACCUGACUGAGUCAUGAAAAGGAUGGAGUCUAUAUUCCAAUUUAGAAAGUGGUUUCUGAGACCAUCCCCUGGGGUGGUCAGCAUACCCCAGAGAGGUGAUCAGUUCUGGACAGAGCAUCUUGAGCAGGAAAGCAAUAAUAAACCGGGGUGUGUUUUGAGGAUGGCACCAUGCUUGAGACGGUGUCAUGUGAAGCAGACUGGAAGGAACUGUGGAUGCUGAAUGUGGGGAAGAGAAGACUCUAGAAGCACACCGUCACUGCCUUCAGGUGUUGGAAAGGCCGGCACCAGGGAGAAGGCUGAGACUUGUUCUGUGGGGCAUUAAUGGAAGGAUGCUCAACUGGAUCUUAUACUGAAAGCAAAUAUGAGAUCAAGUCUGCCAGGGUAGGUGUGGAGAAAGUGGCCCUGUAAGCCAAGGGGCUAUUGAGUUCAAUCCUGGAUGUCAUUCCAGCUGGUGGGGUGCGGUGGAAACACCAGGGAAGGGCAGGGGUAGGGGGGGACCAGCCAUGCAGGGGAGAAGGCAAGUCCUCAGACCCCUGUUCUGUGUGGCACUGUGCGGAAGAGGGGAAGGCUGCCUCACUUCACCCUGUGUGCCAGUCCUUUAUCUAACUAAAUCUCCACAGAAAAUCCACAAGAUGGGGUUGAAUGACCUUUUGUUAUCCAGAAAAGAAACAGCCUGAGGAGUAAAGUCACCUGACUGAGGUCACUCUGCUAGAAGGUGGGGCAGGGAUUCAGCCCCCGGUGCUGUCCCUGACUCUCUUUCUGCGUGGAGGGAUUCAGGCUCAGCCUCCAGGAACCGGAGACCAGAGCUCCCUAUCUGGGACCCAGCCACUGAGACGUCAGGUCACAAAGAUGGAUAGAACCAGAGGCACUGGGGAGCCGGAGAGCUUUGGAAAUGGGCAUCUUUAUGUCCUUCUGCCUCAGUCUAGAGCUGAGAUUUGUGAAAGGGCCAAAUCAGGGGUAGGAAGAGGGUGCAGUGUAUCCUCCGAGGUGGGAGGAGGCCGGGCCAUUUGACCAUAUCUUUCUCUUCAGAGUUCACUGUUCCCAAAGACACAUUAUAUGUCAUCCAUUUUUAUAUAAAUGGUGAGUUCCCAAAUGGGAUUUAAAGACAGCCUAGCAAAUCUUUACAUCCCUUGGAACUUAAAACAAAGCUUUUCCUUCACAGAAUUCUAAUCUCUCUUGAAUAAGAGGCUACGAAACUGAGGGACAUUAUAAUAACCUUCAUUUAAAAUUAGAUUCUGGAUGUUCUGGUGACUUAGCUGAAAACAGCUCAAAUCAGCGAAAACCUUUACAAAGACUUUUCGAAAGUUGGAAGACAUAUCUGUACACACAGGGCGUAGAGCCGGACUUGGCCAGUAUGUGCCUUCUGCCUCCUCCUGGCAAUGCUUACCCCUUAUUACUGUUAUUUCUGAGACGUGAAUGUUUUCUCAUAGUGAAUGUAGCAGUAAUAGUAAUAAUAAUAAUAAUAAUAAUAAUAAUAAUAAUAAUGAUAAAGAACAGCAACAUUUCUCACAAACCCAUUUCCUGAGUAUUAGCAGAUUUGCUACUGGGCCUUGGUUCCCCUUAGAUCUUGGCUUAAAUGAAUGCUUAAUAAUGAUAACAGAGGCUGGGUGCCAUGUCUUAUGUUGGUAAUCCCAGCACUUUGGAUCACUUGAGGCCAGGAGUUCGAGACCAUCCUGGCCAACAUGGCGAAACCCUGUCUCUACUAACAAUGCAAAAAUUAGCCAGGUGUAGUGGCACAAAUUAGCCGGGUGUAGUGGCACAAAUUAGCCAGGUGUAGUGGCACACCCCUGUAAUUCCAGCUACUUGGGAGGUUGGGGCAUGAGAAUGGCUUGAACCUGGGAGGCGGAGGUUGCAGUGAGCCAAGAUCACAGCACUGCGUUCCAGCCUGGGCAAUAGAGGCACUCUGUCACAAAAG